rnacentral:misc_RNA from 1 species
GAUGAAGAACGCAGCGAAAUGCGAUACGUAAUGUGAAUUGCAGAAUUCAGUGAAUCAUCGAGACUUUGAACGCACAUUGCGCCCCCUGGUAUUCCGGGGGGCAUACCUGUCCGAGCGUCAUUGCUGCCCUCAAGCACGGCUUGUGUGUUGGGCCUCCGUCCUCCUCCCGGGGGACGGGCCCGAAAGGCAGCGGCGGCACCGCGUCCGGUCCUCGAGCGUAUGGGGCUUCGUCACCCGCUCUUGUAGGCCCGGCCGGCGCUUGCCGACACAUCAAUCUUUUUUCCAGGUUGACCUCGGAUCAGGUAGGGAUACCCGCUGAACUUAAGCAUAUCAAUAAGCGGAGGA